UCGCCGCGUGAGGGAUGAAGGCCUCUGGUGCUGUAAACCUCUUUUAUCAAGGGAAGAAGAUCUGACGGUACUUGAUGAAUAAGCCACGGCUAAUUCCGUGCCAGCAGCCGCGGUAAUACGGGAGUGGCAAGCGUUAUCCGGAAUUAUUGGGCGUAAAGCGUCCGCAGGCGGUCUUGUAAGUCUGUCGUUAAAGCGUGGAGCUUAACUCCAUUUGAGCGAUGGAAACUGCAAGACUAGAGUGUGGUAGGGGCAGAGGGAAUUCCCGGUGUAGCGGUGAAAUGCGUAGAUAUCGGGAAGAACACCAGUGGCGAAGGCGCUCUGCUGGGCCAUAACUGACGCUCAUGGACGAAAGCCAGGGGAGCGAAAGGGAUUAGAUACCCCUGUAGUCCUGGCCGUAAACGAUGAACACUAGGUGUCGGGGGAAUCGACCCCCUCGGUGUCGUAGCCAACGCGUUAAGUGUUCCGCCUGGGGAGUACGCACGCAAGUGUGAAACUCAAAGGAAUUGACGGGGGCCCGCACAAGCGGUGGAGUAUGUGGUUUAAUUCGAUGCAACGCGAAGAACCUUACCAGGGUUUGACAUCCUGCGAAUCCCUUGGAAACGAGGGAGUGCCUUCGGGAGCGCAGUGACAGGUGGUGCAUGGCUGUCGUCAG
rnacentral:rRNA from 1 species